rnacentral:tRNA from 1 species
GCCCUCUUAGCUCAGCUGGUAGAGCAGCCGCCUUUUAAGCGGCGAGUCGCAGGUUCGAGCCCUGCAGGGGGCACCA